rnacentral:rRNA from 1 species
UACGGGGGGGCAAGCGUUGUUCGGAAUUACUGGGCGUAAAGGGUUCGUAGGUGGCCAACUAAGUCAGACGUGAAAUCCCUCAGCUUAACUGGGGAACUGCGUCUGAUACUGGAUGGCUCGAGUGCAGGAGAGGAACGCGGAAUUCCAGGUGUAGCGGUGAAAUGCGUAGAUAUCAGGAAGAACACCCGUGGCGAAGGCGGCUCUCUGGGACGGUACUGACGCUGAGACGCGAAAGCGUGGGGAGCGAACAGG